rnacentral:rRNA from 1 species
CCUACGGGAGGCAGCAGUGGGGAAUCUUGCGCAAUGGACGAAAGUCUGACGCAGCGACGCCGCGUGGGUGAUGAAGGCCUUCGGGUUGUAAAGCCCUGUGGGGAGAGACGAAUAAGUGCAGGCGAAUACCCUGCAUGAUGACGGUAUCUCCUUAGCAAGCACCGGCUAACUCUGUGCCAGCAGCCGCGGUAAGACAGAGGGUGCAAACGUUGUUCGGAAUUACUGGGCGUAAAGCGUGUGUAGGCGGCCACGUAAGUCGGAUGUGAAAGCCCCGGGCUCAACCCGGGAAGUGCAUUCGAUACUGCGUGGCUUGAGUAUCGGAGAGGUUGGUGGAAUUCUCGGUGUAGAGGUGAAAUUCGUAGAUAUCGAGAGGAACAUCGGUGGCGAAGGCGGCCAACUGGACGAAUACUGACGCUGAGACACGAAAGCGUGGGGAGCAAACAGGAUUAGAUACCCCAGUAGUC